CCAUGGACGUGCGAUUUGGAGCUGUUUAUUCCAUCCUUGCUCUGAGUGCUUUACGGACUCCUGUACAGCGUGUGCCCAGGGCAUCCUUGCAUACUGAAGGUGCCAUUAGGAAGCAGAAGUAUGAAAAUUGUAAUGUUUCACUCCAAAGCAAUUAACCCUCUCACCCUCCAAGGAGUGCAGAGGAGGAAAAGCUCAAUUAAAGAGACUUCGGAGUUUCCAUACCUGUGGCAACUGCUUUGCAAGUCCCCUGCUGUGCAAAUCACCGUUCACAGAGGAAGAUCUUCCUGUCAGUGACUGACAAGAGGUGCCAGGAGCAGGCUAGGAGACCAUUAAACCCAUGAGUUGGCAAAUCAGCAGGCUGACAGUGUUGAAGAGGCCAAGAUAUAUCAAAGACUGAAGGAGAAGAGGAAAUGUGUGGGAUUUUAGUGGAAGAUAGUAAAGGUAGCCAGGAGACUGCUUCUCACCUGGUAGUUGCAUGGCACUUUUGGAUUCUUGGAGAGAGAAGCACAUUAUGGAGCAGGUUUGCUGACGUGACUUUUGAACCCUUUGGGGAUCCACACUGGAGCAGUCUGUUCCUGAAGGACUGAGCUCAAAUGAAGGGACCCAUGCUGGAGCCGGUUAUGAAGAACUGCAGCCUAUGGGAAGAACUCAAAUUCAUGAAGGACUGUCUGCUAUGCGAGGGACCCUGUGAUGGAACAGGGAAAGAGUUGUGGAGUAUUCUCUCAGGGGCCAUUUGAAAUGGAAAAGAGUUCUGUUUUGGCAGAUCCUGAAGAAAGUGAGCUGUCAUUCAGCACUGAAAGGGCUUUAUGAAGGAAGCUGGAGGCAGUUCUCAUUAGUCUCACUGACAUCUUUUAUCACUUAUCAGAGGAACAAGCAAACGGAGAGCAAUUCCUUUGAUCAUGGCAAAAGUAGAAAGAGUAUUAAAAACCUUAUGAAGAUUCACUAAGUAGAAAGUGGAAAAGACAGUCUGUGCCAUGUUUCAAAGAAGGAACAUGAUUUAAAGUUGCCACAUUUGCUUGUAUAUAUUAAAGAAUUGUUACAGGUGAUGCAUAUUACAUGCAUCCUUAGGUUUUUGUUGUUGUUUUGUUUAAAAAAACAACAUGCAACAGUCAAAGGAGGUUUUAAGCAGAAUGGAUGGAAAAUAAAAGGUGAGCCUGUCAGGGAGGAAUUAUGUCAUUCAGUGAAAUUCCUUGAAAAUAAACCCAAGGUUGCAACAGUGGCACCAUGCAUUGGAAAAGAAACCUGCUCUCAUUGAGGAAUGUUAAAUCUUUAAGUCAUCACCUAACAUGAUGCCCCCGUCAUGGGCCUUGCACUGUUGUCAACAGAGCAGGGAGAAAAAGAGAAGCAACUAUACCCUCUUACCCAGAACAUUAUGAAGUCUUAGAUCCACUAGUGCUGUGUGGCUGAGGCUCAGUUAUACACUCCCCACACAGUUCUCAGUUUCUGCAUGUGGUCAGCUCAUACCAAAGCAUGGGAUUUGCAUAGCCUUUGAAGGGCCUUGUUUUAACCUGUGACAAUACAGGCAUCACAACUAUCCAGGCAUUUUCUUCCAGCAUAGACUCUGUCAGCCUUGCCCCUGCAGCACUUUU